UACGGGGGGGCAAGCGUUGUUCGGAAUUACUGGGCGUAAAGGGCUCGUAGGCGGCCAACUAAGUCAGACGUGAAAUCCCUCGGCUUAACCGGGGAACUGCGUCUGAUACUGGAUGGCUUGAGAUUGGGAGAGGGAUGCGGAAUUCCAGGUGUAGCGGUGAAAUGCGCAGAUAUCAGGAAGAACACCCGUGGCGAAGGCGGCUCUCUGGAACGCAACUGACGCUGAGACGCGAAAGCGUGGGGAGCAAACAGG
rnacentral:rRNA from 1 species